AAAAUAUUAGCUCUAUUUUACUGAAUCUAUAGGGUUGAUGAAAGCAGAUGUUUCAGUUAGCAAUUGUACUCCAAAAAUUUCAAAUCAGGUAUAUACAGAAAGCAUUUUGAGUCUAGCUUCGAAUAAAUCAUACUUUGUAUGAAUCUGAGUUCACAGCAGAAAGUUAUAAGUAGUUAAGCAACAAGAGAUCAGAAAUUUCAGUCCCUAUUUUGCAGAAUUUGUAGGGUUAAUUGAAACAGAAGUCUUAGUAGGCAUUUAAACUCCAAAUCAUUCAAUCUUAGUGUCAAAAUAAAGAUAUUUGAGUCUACUUUCAAAUGGAUUAGGUUUGCCUAAAUUAGAGUUUAGUGCUAAAAG
rnacentral:lncRNA from 1 species